rnacentral:rRNA from 1 species
CCUACGGGUGGCUGCAGUGGGGAAUAUUGCACAAUGGGGGAAACCCUGAUGCAGCGACGCCGCGUGGGCGAGGAAGUACCUCGGUAUGUAAAGCCCUUUCAGCAGGGAAGAAAAAGGACAGUACUUGACUAAGAAGCCCCGCCUAACUCCGUACCAGCAGCCCCGGUAAUACGGAGGGGGCAAGCGUUAUCCGGAUUCACUGGGCGUAAAGGGAGCGCAGGGGGCAUGGGAAGUCUGACGUGAAAACCCGGGGCUCAACCCCGGAAGUGCAUUUGAAACUGCCAGGCUGGAGUGUGGGAGGGGUAAGCGGAAUUCCUGGUGUAGCGGUGAAAUGCGUAGAUAUUAGGAGGAACACCAGUGGCGAAGGCGGCCUGCUGGGCUUUUACUGACGCUGAGGCUCGAAAGUGUGGGGAGCAAACAGGAUUAGAUACCCGAGUAGUC